UUUCUUGUGGUUCAGUCAGUAGAGCGUUGCCCUAACAACGCAAUGGUUGUGGGUUCAAACCCCAAGGAAAA